CCUACGGGAGGCAGCAGUCGGGAGUCUUGCACAAUGGGGGAAACCCUGAUGCAGCGACGUCGCGUGUGGGAUGAAGUAUUUCGGUAUGUAAACCACUUUUGCGGGGGGCGAACACAAUGACGGUACCCCGCGAAUAAGCCCCGGCUAACUACGUGCCAGCAGCCGCGGUAAUACGUAGGGGGCGAGCGUUGCUCGGAUUGACUGGGCGUAAAGCGCGCGUAGGCGGUCCAUUAAGUGUGUGGUGAAAUGCAGAGGCUCAACCUCUGUCCCGCCGCGCAAACUGGUGGUCUUGAGAUUGGGAGGGGGAUGCGGAAUUCCUGGUGUAGCGGUGAAAUGCAUUGAUAUCAGGAGGAACACCGGCGGCGAAGGCGGCAUCCUGGCUUAUAUCUGACGCUGAGGCGCGAAAGCGUGGGUAGCAAACGGGAUUAGAUACCCCGGUAGUCCACGCCGUAAACGAUGGAUACUAGGUGUGGGAGGUCUCGACCCCUCCCGUGUCGUAGCAAACGCGUUAAGUAUCCCGCCUGGGGAGUACGGCCGCAAGGUUGAAACUCAAAGGAAUUGACGG
rnacentral:rRNA from 1 species